rnacentral:tRNA from 1 species
GGGUCUAUAGCUUAUUUGGUUAUAGCAAGUUCUUUAUAAUUGUGAGUUCGUUAGUUUAAUUCCAUUUAUACUA